rnacentral:rRNA from 1 species
GACGAACGCUGGCGGCGUGCCUAAUACAUGCAAGUAGAACGCAGUUGCGAACGGGUGAGUAACGCGUAGGAAACCUGCCUCAACCCGGGGGUCAACUGUUGGAAACGCUAGCUAAUACCGCAUACUGUGGGAUGGACCUGCGUUGUAUUAGCUAGUUGGUGAGGUAAAUGCUAACCAAGGCGACGAUACAUGGCCGACCUGAGAGGAUGACCAGGCCAACUGGAACUGGGACAAGGUCCAGGCCUCUACGGGAGGUAGGAGUGGGGAAUAUUGCGCAAUGGGGGAAAACCUGAUGCAGCCAAGCCGGGUGAGUGAAGAAGGUUUUCGGAUCGUAAAGCUCUGUUGUUAGAGAAGCGGUAACUAACCAGAAAGGGACGGCUAACUACGUGCCAGCAGCCGCGGUAAUUC